AUGAGCUUUCGCGAACAUCCAGUGCAGGGGGGCAAUGACCGAAAUGAACAACAUGGGAGACACAUACAAGAACUCCAUCAGUAUGCCCAAUACCUUUCUCACAUACAAGCCUCUGCUCCUUUCAACUGGAUUUGGUCCUCUAAAUGUUCUGCCAAGCUAAAGGGUUUUGCAUGGCUCCUUCUCAAUGAAAGAUUAAACAUGAGAGAUGCUACAAAGAAAAACUUUCGGGUCACAGAUAAUCACAGUAAUGAAGUUAACUCUGCUAUAUCUUCGGCUCAGAUGAGAUCCUUGAAUCUAGUGACCGUAUUUUAA
rnacentral:rRNA from 1 species